rnacentral:rRNA from 1 species
UACGGAGGGUGCAAGCGUUAAUCGGAAUUACUGGGCGUAAAGCGUGCGUAGGCGGUUCGUUAAGUCUGUUGUGAAAGCCCCGGGCUCAACCUGGGAAUGGCAAUGGAUACUGGCGAGCUAGAGUGUGUCAGAGGAUGGUGGAAUUCCCGGUGUAGCGGUGAAAUGCGUAGAUAUCGAGAGGAACACCAGUGGCGAAGGCGAGUCUCUAGACAACUCCUGACACUGAGGCACGAAAGCUAGGGGAGCAAACAGG